rnacentral:rRNA from 1 species
CCUACGGGUGGCUGCAGUAGGGAAUAUUGCUCAAUGGGGGAAACCCUGAAGCAGCAACGCCGCGUGGAGGAUGAAGGUUUUCGGAGUGUAAACUCCUUUUGUUAGAGAAGAGAAUGACGGUAGCUAAGGAAUAAGCACCGGCUAACUCCGUGCCAGCAGCGGCGGUAAUACGGAGGAUGCGAGCGUUAUCCGGAGUUAUUGGGUGUCAGGGGUGCGCAGGCGGAGGUUCAAGUCAGCGGUCCAAUUGGGGGGCUCCACCCCGUACUGCCGUUGAAACUGCAUCCCUUGAGUGCGCGAGACGUCUGCGGACUUCGUGUUGUAGCGGUGAAAUGCUUAGAUAUCACGCAGAACUCCGAUUGCGAAGGCAGCUUACCGGCGCGCAACUGACGCUCAUGCACGACAGCGUGGGUAUCGAACAGGAUUAGAUACCCUAGUAGUC